rnacentral:tmRNA from 1 species
GGGACUGAAUUGGUUUCUACAUAUUAAUAUUUUUUCACUAAUUUUAGUUGAUUUUUUGUUAUUUUUAUUAGAAGAUAUUAAAUAAUAUUGCUAUUUUAAUUAUUAAUUAAAUGCAAAACACAAUAUUUUAGUUUUUUCUAGAAAUAAAGUAUUUGCUUAAAUUUUUAGAAUAUUAAAUUCUAUUUUUGACAUAUAGUUUGAUAUAUAUAUUCAGGUGCUCUUAUUAUAUUUUUAAAUACAUUUAUUUAUUUACAUAUUAAAUGAAUCUAUUAUUUUAAUGUUUAUAUAUGAUAAGUAAAGUAAAAAACGGGUAUAAAACUUAAUUACGUAAAUUUUAAUGAUAACAAAUCAAUAUAUUUACUUUAAUUAGUAAUAAUUAAAUAAAUAAUAUUAAUAUGGACGUGGGUUCGAUUCCCACCAGUUCCA